rnacentral:lncRNA from 1 species
AUAGGAGGCAGCCUACUCUGUUUGGCUAUUCGACAGCUCUAUUGGUAAGGGUAAUUUAUAUGCAGAAAUGAUCGUAAUUAAUAAAUUAAAAUUUUUUCAUAAGUUUAUUGUAGAAAAUACUAAUGUGCAGGUGUGGUUUUUCGAGCAUACCACAGUGAGAGUCUCAGCUAAUCCAAAUAAACUAUCUAGACUGUUAAAGUGGCAUGACAGCCACUCGAAGCCCUGAAACAUUUGGGUUGACAACAUGCAGCCCUAUGAAUUAGCAAGAUGAUUCAUGAUGUCAUAAAUCUUUUGUAUUCCAUAAUUUAUCAUUAUAAUUAUUAAUUUAAUUUAUUUUUCUUCUUUAUUUGCAGGUGGAGGGUGCUAUUCUCCCUACAUCACAGAAGCAGUGGCUUAUUAGUCCAAAAGAAGCAUCCCCGAACCUAAAAAUAUGAUAUGCAACCUAUGCGUAGAUGAGGACUGAACUUGAGGAGAUUAAGAAAAGGCUUGUCAUAGCUGAGAACCUUCUAAAUUCAUUGCUCAAAUAGGGGCAUAUUGCAAAUAAAGAAAAGGACGAAGAGGAGGAGCGGGAUGAUAAAGAGGAGGAGGUGGAAGUCAUAUGGGAAGAAAAACCGAUGAUGGAGAAAAAGAGGAAGGACACCCCUGAGGAGGAUGAUAUGGGGGACAAACAACUAUCUUUGAUUCCUUCAAUCAUUAAGAGGGUGAAAAGACAACUUCGACAGCGGAAGGCUUCAUAUCUAAAGUUGGAUUUUAGAUUUGAGACCAUUUCACCCAUGAAAAAGUCCAAGGCAGUCCUCCCAUCACCGACCAAAUAAAAUAAUAAUCAUUUACAAUUUGAAGAAGAUA